rnacentral:rRNA from 1 species
AGCAGUCGCCGCGGGAAUACGGAGGGGGCUAGCGUUGUUCGGAAUUACUGGGCGUAAAGCGCACGUAGGCGGCUUGGUAAGUUAGAGGUGAAAGCCUGGAGCUCAACUCCAGAAUUGCCUUUAAGACUGCCGAGCUAGCAGGUGAGAGAGGUAAGUGGAAUUCCGAGUGUAGAGGUGAAAUUCGUAGAUAUUCGGGAGAACACCAGUGGCGAAGGCGGCUCACUGGACUGGUAUUGACGCUGAGGUGCGAAAGCGUGGGGAGCAAACAGGAUUAGAUACCCGUGUAGUCCCUGUCUCUUAUAC